CACACUCUCACACACGCAGAGGCACGGGGGGGAAAGAAGCCGAUGAAUAAUUUUGCUACUAUUUUUUAAAAUAUUGGCCGCCAUCAUCAAGCAAGAGCAGCAGCCAGCUUGAAGGGAGAGGAGGCAUGGGGCAGGGCCCUGUAGGAGAGGAUUUAUAUCUAGUUGAAAAAAAAAGAAAGAAAAGAAAAAGAAGAAAAAAAUUGUCAAACCCCCGAACUGAAGGUUACGAGCGGCCAGUCAGCAGCCCACAUGUAACCGAACUGUCGAGUUUCAUGGCUUUUUGCCACUCCAGCUGUCAAUCAAAGCCCGGAAUGUCAAGGUAGUGAAUGAAUGAUGGUUGAUGAUGAUGAAGAGGAGCAAUCUUUCAGACUCGUUUUUUUUUCUUCCAGUAAAACUCCGCGAGGGGUUUCUUUUUCUUGAAUUUUUUCCUUCCCCCUCCCCCCGUCUUUUAGCUUUGCCCCCAAAAUAGCUCUGAUAUGAUCCUCUCUCUUUAAAGUAUUGUUCAAAGAAAGAAAGGAGAAAAAUCAAGAAAAAAUGAAUAGUUUGCAAAAAUUGGACUUCCUCCCCCCUUUCUGGUGUUGGCAGGUUGGCUGCAGCCCGGCUUAUAGUAGAGCCUCAGUUUGGCGGCGCGGGUCGGCGGCGGGAGAACGAAAUGACGGAACCCGGAAGUCGUGGUGGCCAUAGCCCGUCGUACGGCGGAGACACAUCCCGGGAGUGGGGAGCUGGAGCGAGGAGGAGCGCGCAGCGCGGAGCCUCUGAUAUGCAGCGACUGCGGUCGGACGGC